AGCGUACACGGUGGAUGCCCUGGCAGUCAGAGGCGAUGAAGGACGUGCUAAUCUGCGAUAAGCGUCGGUAAGGUGAUAUGAACCGUUAUAACCGGCGAUUUCCGAAUGGGGAAACCCAGUGUGAUUCGUCACACUAUCAUUAACUGAAUCCAUAGGUUAAUGAGGCGAACCGGGGGAACUGAAACAUCUAAGUACCCCGAGGAAAAGAAAUCAACCGAGAUUCCCCCAGUAGCGGCGAGCGAACGGGGAGCAGCCCAGAGCCUGAAUCAGUGUGUGUGUUAGUGGAAGCGUCUGGAAAGGCGCGCGAUACAGGGUGACAGCCCCGUACACAAAAAUGCACAUGCUGUGAGCUCGAUGAGUAGGGCGGGACACGUGGUAUCCUGUCUGAAUAUGGGGGGACCAUCCUCCAAGGCUAAAUACUCCUGACUGACCGAUAGUGAACCAGUACCGUGAGGGAAAGGCGAAAAGAACCCCGGCGAGGGGAGUGAAAAAGAACCUGAAACCGUGUACGUACAAGCAGUGGGAGCACGCUUAGGCGUGUGACUGCGUACCUUUUGUAUAAUGGGUCAGCGACUUAUAUUCUGUAGCAAGGUUAACCGAAUAGGGGAGCCGAAGGGAAACCGAGUCUUAACUGGGCGUUAAGUUGCAGGGUAUAGACCCGAAACCCGGUGAUCUAGCCAUGGGCAGGUUGAAGGUUGGGUAACACUAACUGGAGGACCGAACCGACUAAUGUUGAAAAAUUAGCGGAUGACUUGUGGCUGGGGGUGAAAGGCCAAUCAAACCGGGAGAUAGCUGGUUCUCCCCGAAAGCUAUUUAGGUAGCGCCUCGUGAAUUCAUCUCCGGGGGUAGAGCACUGUUUCGGCAAGGGGGUCAUCCCGACUUACCAACCCGAUGCAAACUGCGAAUACCGGAGAAUGUUAUCACGGGAGACACACGGCGGGUGCUAACGUCCGUCGUGAAGAGGGAAACAACCCAGACCGCCAGCUAAGGUCCCAAAGUCAUGGUUAAGUGGGAAACGAUGUGGGAAGGCCCAGACAGCCAGGAUGUUGGCUUAGAAGCAGCCAUCAUUUAAAGAAAGCGUAAUAGCUCACUGGUCGAGUCGGCCUGCGCGGAAGAUGUAACGGGGCUAAACCAUGCACCGAAGCUGCGGCAGCGACACUAUGUGUUGUUGGGUAGGGGAGCGUUCUGUAAGCCUGCGAAGGUGUGCUGUGAGGCAUGCUGGAGGUAUCAGAAGUGCGAAUGCUGACAUAAGUAACGAUAAAGCGGGUGAAAAGCCCGCUCGCCGGAAGACCAAGGGUUCCUGUCCAACGUUAAUCGGGGCAGGGUGAGUCGACCCCUAAGGCGAGGCCGAAAGGCGUAGUCGAUGGGAAACAGGUUAAUAUUCCUGUACUUGGUGUUACUGCGAAGGGGGGACGGAGAAGGCUAUGUUGGCCGGGCGACGGUUGUCCCGGUUUAAGCGUGUAGGCUGGUUUUCCAGGCAAAUCCGGAAAAUCAAGGCUGAGGCGUGAUGACGAGGCACUACGGUGCUGAAGCAACAAAUGCCCUGCUUCCAGGAAAAGCCUCUAAGCAUCAGGUAACAUCAAAUCGUACCCCAAACCGACACAGGUGGUCAGGUAGAGAAUACCAAGGCGCUUGAGAGAACUCGGGUGAAGGAACUAGGCAAAAUGGUGCCGUAACUUCGGGAGAAGGCACGCUGAUAUGUAGGUGAAGCGACUUGCUCGUGGAGCUGAAAUCAGUCGAAGAUACCAGCUGGCUGCAACUGUUUAUUAAAAACACAGCACUGUGCAAACACGAAAGUGGACGUAUACGGUGUGACGCCUGCCCGGUGCCGGAAGGUUAAUUGAUGGGGUUAGCGCAAGCGAAGCUCUUGAUCGAAGCCCCGGUAAACGGCGGCCGUAACUAUAACGGUCCUAAGGUAGCGAAAUUCCUUGUCGGGUAAGUUCCGACCUGCACGAAUGGCGUAAUGAUGGCCAGGCUGUCUCCACCCGAGACUCAGUGAAAUUGAACUCGCUGUGAAGAUGCAGUGUACCCGCGGCAAGACGGAAAGACCCCGUGAACCUUUACUAUAGCUUGACACUGAACAUUGAGCCUUGAUGUGUAGGAUAGGUGGGAGGCUUUGAAGUGUGGACGCCAGUCUGCAUGGAGCCGACCUUGAAAUACCACCCUUUAAUGUUUGAUGUUCUAACGUGGACCCGUAAUCCGGGUUGCGGACAGUGUCUGGUGGGUAGUUUGACUGGGGCGGUCUCCUCCUAAAGAGUAACGGAGGAGCACGAAGGUUGGCUAAUCCUGGUCGGACAUCAGGAGGUUAGUGCAAUGGCAUAAGCCAGCUUGACUGCGAGCGUGACGGCGCGAGCAGGUGCGAAAGCAGGUCAUAGUGAUCCGGUGGUUCUGAAUGGAAGGGCCAUCGCUCAACGGAUAAAAGGUACUCCGGGGAUAACAGGCUGAUACCGCCCAAGAGUUCAUAUCGACGGCGGUGUUUGGCACCUCGAUGUCGGCUCAUCACAUCCUGGGGCUGAAGUAGGUCCCAAGGGUAUGGCUGUUCGCCAUUUAAAGUGGUACGCGAGCUGGGUUUAGAACGUCGUGAGACAGUUCGGUCCCUAUCUGCCGUGGGCGCUGGAGAACUGAGGGGGGCUGCUCCUAGUACGAGAGGACCGGAGUGGACGCAUCACUGGUGUUCGGGUUGUCAUGCCAAUGGCACUGCCCGGUAGCUAAAUGCGGAAGAGAUAAGUGCUGAAAGCAUCUAAGCACGAAACUUGCCCCGAGAUGAGUUCUCCCUGACUCCUUGA
rnacentral:rRNA from 1 species